rnacentral:lncRNA from 1 species
UUUUUUUUGAAACAGGGUCUCACUAACUUGCUGAACCUCAAACUUAGUGAUUUUCCUACCUCGUUGUACCAUAUAUCUGGGAUUAUAGAUAUGUGCCACCAUGCCCAGCUGGAAAAAUUUUUAUUUAUUUUUUGAUUAAGUUGUUGAUAUUACAAUGUGAAUUUCAGGUUUUUGGUACUGUGUCAAGGUAGAAUUCUCUAAAAGGAAGCAAAUCUAAUACACUACCAAUUGUCUCAGACCUUCCCAAAUAUGGUAGGCUUUUGAUAAUUGUAAUUAUGCACUCUUUGACUUGGUGUACUACAGGAACCCUGAUACAAAAUUGGAAAGGAAUUAUUAAAAUAAAAACAUCCAGUAAGAUAUGGUGGCACAGACCUGUAAUCCCAGCUCUUCAGGAGACUGAGGUAGGAAGAUGGAAAAUUCAAGGCCAGCCUGGGCAAUUUAGCAAGACCCUCUCUCAAAAAGGGCUGAUGGAGUGCUCCUGAGUUCAAUCCCCAGUACCAGGGGUGGAGCGUAAUCCAAAUAAUUCAGGUUGUGAAAAUAACUGAAGCCAAAAGACAAAUGUAUAUCCUUUAGACCGAGGAUUGGAAUUCUGAAUUUAUGCUUAGCAUAAUAUCUACUGUGUAUCAACCAUUAAAAAUUGUUUGGGUAAGACUAAUAAAUUUUUUAAAAAGUACUCAAAGCUACAGAAAAGAUGUGCAUACUAAUUAUUAAUUGCGAGCAUGUUCACAGAACUUAGAAAUAUGAAUAAUAAAGAAUACUGGGUCUCCAGGCACAGUGACUCUAAUCCCAGCAACUCAGGAGGCUAGACCAGGAGACAAGUCUCAGCAACUCAGUGAGACCCUGUCUCUAAAUAAAUACA